AUUGAACGCUGGCGGCAUGCUUUACACAUGCAAGUCGGACGGCAGCACAGAGAAGCUUGCUUCUUGGGUGGCGAGUGGCGAACGGGUGAGGAAUAUAUCGGAACGUACCGAGUAAUGGGGGAUAACUAAUCGAAAGAUUAGCUAAUACCGCAUAUUCUCUGAGGAGGAAAGCAGGGGACCUUCGGGCCUUGCGUUAUUCGAGCGGCCGAUAUCUGAUUAGCUAGUUGGUGGGGUAAAGGCCUACCAAGGCGACGAUCAGUAGCGGGUCUGAGAGGAUGAUCCGCCACACUGGGACUGAGACACGGCCCAGACUCCUACGGGAGGCAGCAGUGGGGAAUUUUGGACAAUGGGCGCAAGCCUGAUCCAGCCAUGCCGCGUGUCUGAAGAAGGCCUUCGGGUUGUAAAGGACUUUUGUCAGGGAAGAAAAGGCUGUUGCUAAUAUCGACAGUUGAUGACGGUACCUGAAGAAUAAGCACCGGCUAACUACGUG
rnacentral:rRNA from 1 species